rnacentral:rRNA from 1 species
AUGGAGCACCAUUCCAUGCGCGGUUUGCUCCUAUGGGUUCCUGGGAGUGAGGCGCAUCUAAAGCAACAAGCGGCAGCAGGUGGGGUGGACGGAGCUUACGGCGGCGAGCUCUUUUGCGGCCGUCGGAGUUCGGCCAUCAAUGGGUUAGGCGCUACGGGGCGUUUCAAGACGAUCUGGUGGGUUCUGCGGCUUCCUGAGGAAGCACUGAGCACGACUACGUGCUCUGGCGCGACAAGCGGGCGUUGUAACCGUGGCGGCGACAUGGCUGGUGGUGGGGAGCGCUCGACUUUGGUGGUUGAUGCGGCUAGGGAGUGA